UCAAUGAGCUCUGCAGGUUUGUAAUCUACUGUGCUCAUUCCGACGCUUCGUAAGGUCUAUCAUAGGCGAGGCGGGAGGAAAGCAAACCCUCGACACUCUCUCCCGGAUCCGUCUAAUUCUCGCAGCUUCUUCAUCGGGCGGCUAUUUUCAUUACAGCCACAAAAAUGUCGGGUGGCUUCUUUCGUGGGACCUCGGCGGAUCAGGAUACUCGGUUCUCCAACAAGCAGGCGAAGCUUCUUAAGUCUCAGAAAUUCGCGCCGGAGCUUGAUCAGUUGGUUGAUAUGACGAAGGUGAAGAUGGACGUUAUCAGGCCUUGGAUCGCGACUAGGGCGACUGAGCUGCUUGGGUUUGAGGACGAAGUCCUCAUCAACUUCGUUUAUGGCCUCCUGGAUGGGAAGGUGGUUGAUGGUAAGAAGAUUCAAAUCCAGCUGACUGGAUUCAUGGAAAAGAAUACCGGCAAGUUUAUGAAGGAGCUCUGGACUCUUUUGCUUAGUGCCCAGAACAAUGUCAGUGGUGUUCCCCAGCAGUUCUUAGAUGCCAAGGAAGAGGAACAAAGGAAGAAGAAGGAGGAGAAUGAUAGAGUUUCUCAAGAAAUCCAAAAAAGAAAAGAGAGAGCUGGUAGAGAACUUGAAAGAGAGAAGCUUGCGAGGAUGGAAGAGGAGGGCAGCGACUCAAAGUCCCAUAAAAGCAUUCCAGACUUGGUUUCAGGACCAUGGCCAUCUAGCGGUCUACCUGAAGAAGAGAGAAAAGAGGACGGGAUUUAUAAUCAUAAAACAAGGAAUGGGCACUCUAUUUCUCCAUACGAGAAUGACCCUUCCCCUCCAUCUCGACGAAGCUCACCUUCAGAAGCUAGGUCAAGCAGCAGGGAAAGGCAUAAAUCAAGGAGUGCUUCUGUGUAUUCGGAGUCUCCAAGGCAUUCAAUUUCUCCUAAGAGGCGGAACCUCUCGCCUGUUAAACGGUCUACCACUCCUAUCAGACAUUAUAGGUCUCCACAUCGACAUCCAACUUCUCGAUCCCCUCCUAGAAGAACACCUCAUUCUCGAUCUCCUGCUAGAAGAAGAUCACCUCAUUCUCGGCGAAGAUCAAUUUCACCUUCACGGGAUAGAUAUUCUUCCUCUUAUUUUUAUGGAUCCCAUGCACGGAGAAAAUCUCCAUAUAUGCAUCGUAGAUCUCCUUCCCCAUCACACAGGUCUCCGUCUCCUGUGCGUCGCAGAUCUCCCCCAUUACGUCGAAGAUCCCCUUCGCCAGUGUACCGAAGGUCCCGUUCUCCACCACGCCGCAGAUCACCAACAUAUCACCGAAGGAGAUCUCCAUCUCCGUUUCGUCAUCGGUCUCCUUUUCGGCGUCGGUCCCCUUCUCCCGCAAGAAACGAGUCUAUAUCUCCUAUCAGGAGAUCACCCCUUACUUUAUCUUCCAAAUACAGGAAACCGUCACCGCCCCGAUCACCUGUGAGGCGGGUUGUUGAUUCUUAUAAUUCCCCAAGGCAGAGGAACAGGAGCCCUAUUCCACAUAGAAGUGAGAGCCCAUUGAAUCAUAGGGACUUGAAUAAAGUUCAUAACAACCUUACUGACAGGGAUAAAUCUCGAAGGCCAUGUGAUGAAAGGAUACAGAGGAGGUUGUCAACUCAUCAGAACUUACUGAAAGAGUCAGACAAUUAUGUUGGUUCAGAUAAAUCUCCCAAGCAUUCUAAGUUUCAGGCAGGGAAGAGUAUAAGUUCACAAAAAAAAAGCCGGUCUUUAAGUCCAUCAAGAAGUCCAGUUGUGCUGAGAGCAGGGAGUGUAUCUCGUCAUGGAAGUUCUGAAACAAGCAGGGAAGAGGAAAAAAUCCCUCGUUCAAGGGAUGUUGUGCAUCAUAAAGAUAAUAUUUCACGCAAGCAAAGCACAUAUCCACCUAUUGUCAUUGAGAAUUCGUACGGGAAUGACCACAUUAUGGAUGUGCGGGCCCCAAGCGGAUCGGUUAUUGCUGAAAUCCCAGCUACACGCCAUAUACUGAAAUCAGAGAUCAAACAGAAUGAUAUGGGGGACCGACUGAAGGGAAAUUUUCGGCAUUCGCAAUCACAAGCGGAUAUUGAAUAUGGGCCUGGAGGAACCAGGGGAGGAAAAAAUCGGUUAGAAGGUGUUUUAGAGGGUAAAUCUCCUGAAGAGAGGAAAAAUAAGGGACAUACAAUGAGCAGUGAUGCUCACCUUGGCAUUGGUAAUGUGCAGUCUAUAUCAAAAGGUACUGAGUAUGAAGAAACACGUUAUGAAAGAGAACAUGGCAAAAGGCCCAAGAGAAAGUUUGACAAAGACCAACUUUUGCUUUCUAAUUAUUCAGAUUCUGAUGUUGCUCAGAAGAUUGAAAAACAACUUAAGAGAUCGGACAGUUACAAGCGUAAUAUCAGUGAAAGUUCUGAGAAUGAUUCACAAUUUGAUGAGAAGAAGGAAGCUAAAAGGAGGAGAAAGGAGGAGAGAAGGCUGCGCAAAGAGGAGAAGUACCGGAUGCGUGAAGAGAGGCGUCGAAGAAGGGCCGAGCGUCCUGCCAGACAAAAAGUUAGAACUAUGGAUGAUUUAAGCCCUUCUUCAGAUUUUGAGAAACACCUUAGCGACGCUAAUGAUUCAGAUCAUGAUGCUUAUCGGAGAAAGAAUUCUCAUACAACCAAUGCAAAGGAGGCAGAGUCUGAGCAGAAGAGGCUCGAGAUAGAGCUGCGAAUGAAGGCCCUUGAAUCUCUUAGGGCCAAAAAAGCUAUCAAUGAUUAGAUUUGUUAAUUUUUGGACAUUUUGGUUUCCGUUCAUGUUAUGCAAAAUAUAUUUCUCAUGUUUAUCUGUAAACUUUUUAAAGUUGAAGGCAGGGGCAUCCACUAGUUGGAGUGUCUCCUUUUGUCCUUUCAAAUGUUUGAUAUAUUGUGUUUACACUGGCAGCUAUGUGGGUAGCUGGAGUUUACCGUGGUAGAUAGUUCCAUAUAUCUGCAAAUCUUGCUGUUCAGAUUUCUGAUGAGCCUACUGCCAAGUAGGAUCCGGUAAAGCUGGUCAUGAGCAAAAACACACUUGAAUUUCAGCUCAGCUCAAAGCUCUAUGCGGA